rnacentral:lncRNA from 1 species
GAAAGAUGGGGUUUCCUUGACCUUUUGUCUCUUCCUCUCUGUUCUAGGUGCAAGGAGUGGAAUUUCCACCACUGGAAGUUUCAAAGGUCAGAAGAAUGAGCUAUGAUUUGGAGAUUGAGGUGCAGAGAAGAGAAGGGACUGGUACGAGGUCCUAUAGCAACAGUUAGACAAAUGUAUCACCUGGGAAGAUUGCUCUUCUUCUGAGGAAAGACCCCACCCCACCCCCCGAUCUAUAUAUCCGGGCCAAGAGAAGCCUACCCUUGGAGCAGCUUUUGAAUAUAUCACUUCAGUCCUAUUGGUCUUAGUUAGCUUCCUUAUUUCCUUUGGCGGUGUUUCAGGGAACAUGGCAUGGAACAUGGCUGUCAGACCUGGAGAGGCCCUUGAGCCAGCCUGGCCAACUACUCAUCUUACAGAAGGGGAAACUGAGGGGCAGAGCAGCUCGCACAGGGAAGGCAGUGGCCAAGCCUGGCUUCGAUCCCAGGUCCUCUGACCCCCCCAUUCCCCCUGAGCUUUUGCUCUUCCUCCAGGGUCUAGGGAUGCCUGCUGAGAGCCGGGAUGAGGGCCAGAGACAGGGCAGCAGAUAGGGCCAUCCCCACCGUCCCCUCGGGUGCGGUUCUUCAAAGGAGGAGGAAGAGGAGGC